rnacentral:rRNA from 1 species
UACGAAGGGGGCUAGCGUUGCUCGGAAUCACUGGGCGUAAAGGGUGCGUAGGCGGGUCUUCAAGUCAGGGGUGAAAUCCUGGAGCUCAACUCCAGAACUGCCUUUGAUACUGAGGAUCUUGAGUUCGGGAGAGGUGAGUGGAACUGCGAGUGUAGAGGUGAAAUUCGUAGAGAUCCGGAGGAACACCGACGGCGAAGGCAGCGCCCUGGCCGACGACUGACGCUCAGGCACGAAAGCUGGGGGAGCAAACAGG